rnacentral:rRNA from 1 species
GACGAACGCUGGCGGCGUGCCUAAUACAUGCAAGUCGAACGCAGGGGGGACGGGUGAGUAACACGUGGGUAACCUCCCAUCAGAGGGGAUAACACUUGGAAACAGGUGCUAAACCGCUACUGAUGGAUGGACCCGCGGUGCAUUAGCUCGUGGGUGGGGUCACGGCCUACCAAGGCUAGGAUGCAUAGCCGGCCUGAGAGGGUGACCGGCCACAUUGGGACUGAGACACGGCCCAGACGCCUACGGGAGGCAGCAGUAGGGAAUCUUCCGCAAUGGGCGCAAGCCUGACGGAGCAACGCCGCGUGAGUGAAGAAGGUUUUCGGAUCGUAAAGCUCUGUUGUAAGAGAAGCGGUAUCUUACCAGAAAGCCACGGCUAACUACGUGCCAGCAGCCGCGGUAAUAC